UAAGGAAUAUUGCGCAAUGGGGGAAACCCUGACGCAGCAACGCCGCGUGGAGGAUGACACUUUUCGGAGCGUAAACUCCUUUUAUCAGGAAAGAAUAAUGACGGUACCUGAUGAAUAAGCACCGGCUAACUCCGUGCCAGCAGCCGCGGUAAUACGGGGGGUGCAAGCGUUACUCGGAAUCACUGGGCGUAAAGGACGCGUAGGCGGAUUAUCAAGUCUUUUGUGAAAUCUAGUGGCUUAACCACUAAACUGCUUAGGAAACUGAUAGUCUAGAGUAGGGGAGAGGUAGAUGGAAUUCUUGGUGUAGGGGUAAAAUCCGUAGAGAUCAAGAAGAAUACCCAUUGCGAAAGCGAUCUGCUGGAACCUAACUGACGCUGAGGCGUGAGAGCGUGGGUAGCAAACAGG
rnacentral:rRNA from 1 species